GACAGACUUCAGUUCUUCAGCCUCAGGGACCGAAUUCUGCCAACAACUUAAAUGACCCUGGAAGAAGAUCCUGAGCCUUCAAUAAGAGCACAGUUCACACAGGACACUUUGUUUCCAACCAUGUGAGACCCUAAGCACAGCCUGACCUUCCUGACCCACAGAAACAUCAAAAAAACAAAUGGGUGUUUUUCUUAUACAGCAAUCAAAAAUUAAUAUACUCUAGAUACCAUAUUUCAUAGUAGUAAAAAUUGAUAAAGAAACUUUGUUUCUCAAAACAAAGUUAUGAGAAAGUUACUGGUUCAUAUACUAACACAAAGUACUCUUUUGCAGCAUUAGUAGUAGAAGGCUUUAAUUCACCUGUCAGCAUGUCAUCAAGGACUAUUAAAGCAAGUAAGAAUUUAGGAUAUACUUCAGACAGAGGAAAUGGCUGUGUGGAUGAAGGAAGAGAGUGUGUACACACAUUAAAGAGUCAUGAUGAUCAUCAGCAAAGUGCGAAGCUUUGCAUCCAGGAACGUCAAGGGAUGUAUACAUCUUCCAGAUUGGGCAGGUACCCAAAAUGAUUAAAGAGGGAAAAUACACUGGAUUCCAAAAGAUCUGGAAUAGUGCUUACGCCUACAAGUUAGAAAUUAAAACUUCAUUAUUCACAAGUAAUGAAGUAGACUACUCAAAACAGAUUUUGUCU
rnacentral:lncRNA from 1 species